CGUGCGUUAAAAAUUCGACGAAUACUGUUGUUUAAUACAAAGAUUAUCAGUAUCCUGACAUGAACUAAAGGGAAAACCGUGCAAGUGUAAAUGAAGUCUCUCCUUUCGGUUAGAAAUUUUGGAAAACACGGGAUUUGGAAGGAACCACACCAAAAGCGUUCACGACACGAAGCGAGGACGAAAGGAGAAUGCCUGCUUCUUUGUCAUGAAAAUAUGAUCAUGUAUGGAGAGCACUAUGACAAUGCUGAAACAUUGGAGGAUAAUCAACGGAAUUCGUAUCUAUGACAGGCAGAAGUAGUUGGACGGAAAAGUGAACAAAAUCAGGAAGGGUGAUGGAGAUGAAAAGGGCCUGAAAAGAGGAGAAAGAAUAGAAACUUUUCCUCACCUGAUAGCUGAAUGGUUGAUAACUGAAGCUCAAAUCAAGCACUGACAACUGGAGAGGAUGAUCUUACAGCUAAAAGACGAGUUGAAAGCAGAGGUAGAAAAUGUAUUUUACCAAAGCUCAAUUUAGGCAAAUUUAGUAGAAAGAAAACCGUCGCAAAAUGUUUCGUUCGCUUUUCCAAAACUUCUUCCGCCAUUAAGCGAUUCGAUUUCAGUAUCAUUUCUGUUUGGUUACUCAAUGUUGU